rnacentral:rRNA from 1 species
AACGAACGCUGGCGGUAUGCUUUACACAUGCAAGUCGAGCGAGAACGGGACUUCGGUCCUUAUUAGAGCGGCGCACGGGUGAGUAACGCGUAGUUAACCUACCCCCAAGCCUGGGAUAACCUUUCGAAAGGAGGGCUAAUACCGGAUAACAAUGAGAGCCUAGUGGCUUUUAUUUGAAAGAUUUAUCACUUAGGGAUGGGACUGCGUACCAUUAGUUUGUUGGUGGGGUAAUGGCCUACCAAGACUUCGAUGGUUAGCGGGUCUGAGAGGAUGAUCCGCCACACUGGAACUGAGACACGGUCCAG